rnacentral:rRNA from 1 species
UACGUCGGGGGCAAGCGUUGUCCGGAAUCAUUGGGCGUAAAGAGCGCGUAGGCGGCCCUGUAAGUCCGCUGUGAAAGUCAAGGGCUCAACCCUUGGAUGCCGGUGGAUACUGCAGGGCUAGAGUCCGGAAGAGGCGAGUGGAAUUCCUGGUGUAGCGGUGAAAUGCGCAGAUAUUAGGAGGAACACCGGUGGCGAAGGCGCUGCUCUGGGCCGAUACUGACGCUGAGGAGCGAAAGCGUGGGUAGCAAACAGG